GCCGCCAGGAAAUUACGAGCCCAAGCUUAAAACCCAAAGGACUUGACGGUGUUCCACCCCACUAGAGGAGCCUGUUCUAUAAUCGAUUCCCCCCGAUCAACCCCACCACCUUUUGAAUACUCAGCCUGUAUACCUCCGUCGCAAGCUUACCCUAUGAACGCACCCAGUGAGCCUAAUGAUUUAACACCCAUACGUCAGGUCAAGGUGCAGCCCACAAGGUGGAAAGAAAUGGGCUACAAUUUCUAUUUUAGAAUAAACGAAAGACUACAUGAAACAUACCCCCUGAAGGCGGAUUUAGUAGUAAAAAGAAAAUAGAGAGUUCUUUUUAAUUAGGCACUGGAACGCGUACACACCGCCCGUCACCCUCUUCAAGCACAAACAUUAUGUUAUUAACACCACACACCCCUAUAGAAGAGGUAAGUCGUAACACGGUAAGCGUACUGGAAAGUGCGCUUGGAAUAACAAAAUGUAACUUAACUAAAAGUGCCCUGCUUACACCAAGGACAUGUCUGUGAAACACCGACCAUUUUGAGCUUAAAACCUAGUCCUACCAAUCCCAAUAAAAUUAAACCAACCCCCCCCCGCCCGAAUAAAACAUUUUUUCACUUAGUAAAGGCGAUUAAAAAGUAUUUAAGAACUAUAAUGUUAGUACCGCAAGGGAAAGGUGAAAUAAAAAUGAAACAGAUUAA
rnacentral:rRNA from 1 species